rnacentral:rRNA from 1 species
GUAGGCGAUCUAUCAUGCAGUCGAGCGAAUGGAUUAAGAGCUUGCUCUUAUGAAGUUAGCGGCGGACGGGUGAGUAACACGUGGGUAACCUGCCCAUAAGACUGGGAUAACUCCGGGAAACCGGGGCUAAUACCGGAUAACAUUUUGAACCGCAUGGUUCGAAAUUGAAAGGCGGCUUCGGCUGUCACUUAUGGAUGGACCCGCGUCGCAUUAGCUAGUUGGUGAGGUAACGGCUCACCAAGGCAACGAUGCGUAGCCGACCUGAGAGGGUGAUCGGCCACACUGGGACUGAGACACGGCCCAGACUCCUACGGGAGGCAGCAGUAGGGAAUCUUCCGCAAUGGACGAAAGUCUGACGGAGCAACGCCGCGUGAGUGAUGAAGGCUUUCGGGUCGUAAAACUCUGUUGUUAGGGAAGAACAAGUGCUAGUUGAAUAAGCUGGCACCUUGACGGUACCUAACCAGAAAGCCACGGCUAACUACGUGCCAGCAGCCGCGGUAAUACGUAGGUGGCAAGCGUUAUCCGGAAUUAUUGGGCGUAAAGCGCGCGCAGGUGGUUUCUUAAGUCUGAUGUGAAAGCCCACGGCUCAACCGUGGAGGGUCAUUGGAAACUGGGAGACUUGAGUGCAGAAGAGGAAAGUGGAAUUCCAUGUGUAGCGGUGAAAUGCGUAGAGAUAUGGAGGAACACCAGUGGCGAAGGCGACUUUCUGGUCUGUAACUGACACUGAGGCGCGAAUGUCUGGCCAGCC